rnacentral:rRNA from 1 species
UACGUAGGUGGCAAGCGUUGUCCGGAUUUACUGGGCGUAAAGAGCGCGCAGGCGGUCGAAUAAGUCGAAUGUGAAAGCCCCCGGCUCAACUGGGGAGGGUCAUUCGAUACUGCUCGACUCGAAGGCAGGAGAGGGAAGCGGAAUUCCCGGUGUAGUGGUGAAAUGCGUAGAUAUCGGGAGGAACACCAGUGGCGAAGGCGGCUUUCUGGCCUGUUCUUGACGCUGAGGCGCGAAAGCCAGGGGAGCAAACGGG